GGCCAGUUAGCUCAGUCAGUAAAGCGUAGCGCUAACAACGCUAAGGUCGUGGGUUCGAUUCCCAUUUGGUCC
rnacentral:tRNA from 1 species